rnacentral:rRNA from 1 species
AUUGAACGCUGGCGGCAUGCCUUACACAUGCAAGUCGAACGGCAGCACGGGUGCUUGCACCUGGUGGCGAGUGGCGAACGGGUGAGUAAUACAUCGGAACGUACCUUAUCGUGGGGGAUAACGCAGCGAAAGCUGUGCUAAUACCGCAUACGCCCUGAGGGGGAAAGCGGGGGAUCGCAAGACCUCGCGCGAUUAGAGCGGCCGAUGCCUGAUUAGCUUGUUGGUGGGGUAAAAGCCCACCAAGGCGACGAUCAGUAGCUGGUCUGAGAGGACGAUCAGCCACACUGGGACUGAGACACGGCCCAGACUCCUACGGGAGGCAGCAGUGGGGAAUUUUGGACAAUGGGGGCAACCCUGAUCCAGCAAGGCCGCGUGAGUGAAGAAGGCCUUCGGGUUGUAAGGCUCUUUUGUCAGGGAAGAAACACCGGCUCUAACACAGUCCGGGAAUGACGGUACCUGAAGAAUAAGCACCGGCUAACUACGUGCCAGCAGCCGCAGUAA